CCAUGAGUCUUUGCGCGCCUCGGCUGCAUCCUCAAGGUGCUGGCUCUCUGCUGCUAAUACAGUGUGGCUUGAAGAGGACUUGCGGGUCACCGCACUUUUUAACUCCAACCAAAGCCGGCAUUUGGGGUGGGAACUGGGGAGCCCUCGAAGUGGACAGGAGUGGUCUAAGAAGUUGAUGUUGUGACAGUGUGAGCGAGGAAUGGGCGAAAUAGGCUCGCUGAAUCUACCUGUCGGUGAGAACUGGAGUGUCAGGCUUGGUCCGGGCCGGAGUGUGUGGGUGACGGCGAGUGGCAUGUUUAGUGGAGGAAUGUGAGUGAAUCUUAGGCGCAUGAUUGACCGAGGGUGUGUCUUACGGGCAGGGUGAACUGUGAUGAGUUUGCACGAUAACGUGGAAUGUGGGGCAUUCGAGCUCCCGUGCACCCGAAGUGGCCUGGGUCUGUGUGAAACGGCCCGCCGAGUGAGAGACCCAUGCUCGUGACCUUGGGAGUGUUUCUCCAUCGUUGUGACAAACUGCGCGUGGGUGGGUGAGAUUAAGAACGAAAGCGCUUUGUGCAUAACGGGAUUUGGGAGGAAUCUGCUGGGAAACAGAAGGCAGGAUGAAGAGGGGAUUCUUUCCUCAAAUCCUUCAGCUCUCCCACAUGUAUCUCCACCAACAUCACCAGGAGUGUUGCAUCAGGACAGGAUGACAUAGAAGAUGCUGCCACCAUGGUGAUGCUUUACUCCAGUGAUUCUUGGCCUUAAGCAAGCAUCAGAAUCAUUUGCAAGGUCUGUUAAAACAGAUUUGAGAGCCCCAAGUCCAGAGUUUCUACUUUAGUAGGUCAAAAUUUGCUUUUCCUGCAAGUUCUCAGAAGCUGCAGUGCAAGAAGUUACCAGGUGGUCUUGAUACUGCCAGUCCCAAGACGCUGCUGAACUCUGCAAAAACUUUGUGGAAGUUCUCACACCAAUACUCUUCAAGAUCUUUAAGGAAAUAUAAAGGAAAGGAGCACUCCCCAAAUCAUUCCUGGGAGCUACUACUAACCUGAUUCCAAAGCCAGACAAGGAUCAAACCAAAAAAAGAGAAUGAUAAACCAACUUCUUUAAUGAGCAUAGAUACAAAAGCCUCAAGAAGAUAUUGGCAAAUAGAAUGCAGUGAACCAUCAAAAGGAUCACACAUCAUGACCAAGUAAGCUUUAUCCCAAGGAUCCAAGGGAUGGUUUGAUAUAUACCAAUCAAUUAGUGUAAUGCCUCACACAAACAAGCAAAGACAGGUAUCAUAUGAUCAUCUCAAUAGAUGCAGGAAAACUUUUGACAAAAUUCACCGUCCUUUCAUAAUAAAAACAUGGGAGAAAAUAGAUGUAGAAGGACUUGAUCUCAUCCUGAUAAAAGUCACUGUUGCCAGUGUGAACUGCCAACAUCGUGUGAAGUGAGGGGAAACUGAAAGUCUUCCCUCUAAAAUCAGGAACAAGACAAGGAUCCCACUGUCACCACCUGUGUUCAACUCAACAUAGUGCUGAAAACGGUAGCAGGAGAAGCAGGCAAGAAGAGAAAUAGAAGGGAGAUGUAUAGGAAAGGAAGAAGUGGAGUUACCAUUAUUUGCAGUGUCAUGAUCUAUGUAGAAGAUAAAAAAUACACCAAGGUAGUCCUAGAAUAAAUUACCAAACUGAGCAAAGGAGGAUACAAAAUCAGUAGUAUUCCUGCACACCAACAGUGAGCCCACUGAGAAGGAAAUGCCAUUUACAAUACACCGAGAAAAAUUAAGUACUCAGGAAUUAACCUAACAAAGGAUGUGAAAGACCUCUACAAGAAAACCUACAGUCCUCUGAAAGAUGAAAUUGUUUUGUUUUGUUUUUGUUUUUUAUUGGUACCGGGGAUCGAACUCACGACUGCCUGCUUGCAUGGCAGGUGCUUAUGCUGCUGAGCUAAAUCCCCAGCCCCCUGAAAGAGGAAAUUGAAGAAGACCUCAGAAAAUGGAAAGAUAUCGCCUCUCCUGGAUAGGCAGAAUCAACAGUCAAAUGGCUAUACUUACUGCUAGGAUUAUUUCCAAAAGAUGAAAAAUAUUUCCAAAAGAUGAGAAGUAUAAAAUAAAAAGCAGCCUUUAUUCUGAGAACACGGAGAGAGAUGACCGGCACCCCCACCGCUGGCGAGCAGCGAUCUCUCUGGCGGACACGUGGCGUGGGGGUAUGUAAGUAGCCUCGGUUUGGGGUGGAACCUAAGGCGGGCAUUAGGGAUGCACAGGUAGCCCACUGGUCCUAGGUUUGGCACCAUAGGUAAAUUUCCAGGGGCGGGAAGAUGGCGUCACAGGUAAUUUCCUAGGAGCAGGGGAGAUAGGGGCUUCCUGCUUCCGGUUGAGGCUUUUCUGGCUACAGUGUCCUGUCUGGGCCAAAAGCCUUUCACUUACAAAAUUGAUACACACAUUUAACACAAUCUCAAUCAAAAUUCCAACAGCAUUCUUCACAGAAGUUCACAGAACUAGAGAACACAGUCCUAAAAUCCAGAAUAGGCCCACAAUAGCAAAGCAAUCCUCGGUGACAAAAGCAAAUCAUAAUCCCAGACUUGAAGUCCUACUACAAAGCUCCAGUGAUAAAAACAGCAAUAAAACGGACAUGAGGGUUAAUGGAACAGAAAAACAGAUGCAGCAUUAACCCCAAGCAAGUCAAUUGUUUGAUCUAUGGCAAAGAGGCAAAAAACACACAUUAGAAGAAAGACAGCCUUUUUAAUAGAUGGUGCUGGAAAAACUGGCCAUCCACAUGUAGAAGAUUGAGUCUAUACCUUUAUCUUUCACCCUGUACUAAAUUAAAGUCAAAGUGGAUCCAUGAACUAAAUGUUAAAACAGAAAUAUUUAACCUGCUGGCAGAUGACAUAGGUAAAACUCUCGAGGUCAGAAGCAGAGCAGGAGCUUUCUGAACAGAACCCGGGGUGCACAGGAGAUAGUGCUGAAAAUCAGCAGUGGGGUCAUAUCAAAUCAAAAAGCUCUGCACAGCAAAAGAAACAGGCACCUACAGAAUGGGAAGAAUUGCCAGCUACUCCUCAGGCAGAAGGCUAACAUCCAGUAAAGAUUAGACGCCUUCCAAGUUCAAAGACCCAAUGAAAAAUAGGCAAACAAAGUGACUAGACCAAUAAACACGGAAGGAAGACCAGAGUGGCCCAGAGAUACCUGAGGAAAGGCUCAGCAUCACUGGCUAUUCGAGAAAUGCAAAUUAAAACCAUGCUGAGAUUCCACCUUAGCCCUGAAAGAAUGACCAGGAUCAAGAAAUCAAAUAGUAACUAAUGCCGGAAAGACUGGGGGAACAGGAACCCGUCUCCAGCGUUGGUGGGAACGUAAACUCGUGCUGCUAAUAUUGAAAUCAGUAUGAGGAGUCCUCAAAACACUAAAACUAGGAAUUCUAUUUGACUCAACUGUCCCUCUUAUAAGUCUCUUCCCAGAUCAGUUAAAGACGUUACGUUGUAGUGAUACAUCCGUACCCAUGUUUACAGCAGCACAAGUCAUAAUAGCUAAGUCUUGGAAGUGAACUGUGCUUCCGUCAAUAGAUACGUGAAUAAAGAAAACAUUUUUGCACACAGUGGAGCAUACUUGGGUACGAAGAAAGAUAAACUUGAGUCAUUUGUAUGAAAAUACAUGCAGUUUGAAACCAUAAUGUUAAGUAAAGUCAGACAUGCACUUAAAUAACAUCUAAGUUUCUUAUAUAAGAAAUCCAAAUAUUUUCAUUCAUUAGUUGGAAUGGUUUUGUCCUGGUUUGUUUGAUUUUAUUAUCUGUGAUGGUAUUAACAGCUAUUUUGAAGAAAACAAGACAUUAUAAUAGCCAGUACUGAUUUAAUAUCGUCUUGCUUUGAAACCGUAUCAUGCUUCUGUUCUUCUGUUUCCAUUGGUUCUAUUAUGUUGUAUCUUAUGGAUUAUAUUAUGUGUGAUAGUAUAAACAAAUCUUUUAUGGACUAUGAGAUAAUAUACUAGCCAUUGUUCAUUUUCUGUUAUUUGUCCUGAAUGCCCUGUCACACUUCCAUUCUCUUGAAUGGUUUUAUACUAUUUUGUUAUGUUUGAUACUAUUGUACGUGAAGGUAUGCUCAACUAUUUCAAAGAAAGGGACAUUAUGGUAGCUGCUGUUAACAUCGGGUUGUCUUGUGGUAAAAUGCUUACACUGUUCUGUUCUGAUCUGCUUUGUUAUGUCCUCUUUUGUCUUAAUCUCUUUAAAAUAAAAAAAUUUUUAAAAAAGAAA